AACCGUACAUUUCACGCUGCAUGCCUUACUGGCCCAGAGUAUAAAAUGCACGUGCGUCGGGAAAAUAGCAAACAAUUAACCGCGGGCGGACGAGCAUUCAACUUUUCUCUCUGUGUAUUUUUGCAUUAUCUCUGGGAUAGACAAUAGAAAAGCUUACAGGAUGUACAAAUACGCCAUUCUCGCCUGUUUACUCAUCAUAGCUGUAUCAGUUGUGGUCAACGCCCAAGGACAAGCACAAAACACUGGACAGGCAGGCCAACGUCCAACCAAUUGGUACGUACCACCACGCCAACAGCCUGUGUUUCCAUUCUUUCCCAUGAAUAUGAACAGCCUUAUGUGGCUGUACUUCAUGGACAAUGGCUUCAACACGUAAAGACAACACAUCCCAUACCUUAGCAGUGGACUCGUGACAGAAAUAGAAACAUCUACAAUACCAUAGCAAUAGACUAAUUUUGUAAUUAAAAUAUAUCUCCAAUACUUUUUAAGUAAACUGACAGUGAAGGAAAGAACUCGUCUGAACAGCACCAACAAUAAGUAAACAAUCUACAAAAUGAAAACGUUUAAACACUAGGGUUAAGUCUGUAAAAAACUACAUAUUAUAUGACUGAAACGAUAAUGCAAGUGAAAACAAAAUGGUUCUGUACUUUCCAAGCUUUCCUCUUCAUUGGACAAUAAUAUACGAGUCUCUGUACGAGUGUGAUUAUGUAAUAUGAUCCAGUUUCAUGUUUUGUUGCAUAUUUAUUCCUGCAUGUCUUUGCGUUUUCUAACAAUCAUCUUUCUUCUUUUGUAGUACUAUAGCAAAAACAAUUCUGACAUUGUUAUGAAUUUUUGUUUACUACAGCUCAUAUUAUCAUUACAAAACAUCUCAUUUGUUUCUGUUUUACUUACUAUACCAUUAAUUCUCGUUUUAUAAUAAACAUAUACUUUCAUUCAAUAA